rnacentral:misc_RNA from 1 species
AAACCUCUCAGCAGAAUUUAUUUUUUGUUGGUCAUGGGCUGCGGAGGACUAGCCAUAAUGGCUGCUCCCGCCUUAAAAUUGCUGCACGACCGCAAGCUAUUGCUAGGUUAAUGGAGUGGUGUUUACAUUAUAUUCCAGCGAUUUACUGCAAUGCUUGGUGGCGUUAAACCCGAUGUUGCGCAAGCAACUGAA